UACGUAGGGGGCUAGCGUUGUCCGGAUUUAUUGGGCGUAAAGAGCGUGUAGGCGGCCAGGUAGGUCUGCUGUGAAAACUCGAGGCUUAACCUCGAGAUGUCGGCGGAAACCAUCUGGCUAGAGUCCGGAAGAGGAGAGUGGAAUUCCGUGGUGUGAGCGGGUGAAAUGCGCAGAUAUCAGGAAGAACACCCGUGGCGAAGGCGGCUCUCUGGGACGGUACUGACGCUGAGACGCGAAAGCGUGGGGAGCGAACAGG
rnacentral:rRNA from 1 species